CCUACGGGAGGCAGCAGUCGAGAAUCAUUCACAAUGGGGGAAACCCUGAUGGUGCGACGCCGCGUGGGGGAAUGAAGGUCUUCGGAUUGUAAACCCCUGUCAUGUGGGAGCAAAUUAAAAAGAUAGUACCACAAGAGGAAGAGACGGCUAACUCUGUGCCGGCAGCAGCGGUAAUACAGAGGUCUCAAGCGUUGUUCGGAAUCACUGGGCGUAAAGCGUGCGUAGGCUGUUUCGUAAGUCGUGUGUGAAAGGCGCGGGCUCAACCCGCGGACGGCACAUGAUACUGCGAGACUAGAGUAAUGGAGGGGGAACCGGAAUUCUCGGUGGAGCAGUGAAAUGCGGAGAUAUCGAGAGGAACACUCGUGGCGAAGGCGGGUUCCUGGACAUUAACUGACGCUGAGGCACGAAGGCCAGGGGAGCGAAAGGGAUUAGAUACCCCUGUAGUC
rnacentral:rRNA from 1 species